rnacentral:rRNA from 1 species
GUGAAAUCCCCGGGCUUAACCUGGGAACUGCAUUCGAAACUGGCAGGCUAGAGUCUUGUAGAGGGGGGUAGAAUUCCAGGUGUAGCGGUGAAAUGCGUAGAGAUCUGGAGGAAUACCGGUGGCGAAGGCGGCCCCCUGGACAAAGACUGACGCUCAGGUGCGAAAGCGUGGGGAGCAAACAGGAUUAGAUACCCUGGUAGUCCACGCCGUAAACGAUGUCGACUUGGAGGUUGUUCCCUUGAGGAGUGGCUUCCGGAGCUAACGCGUUAAGUCGACCGCCUGGGGAGUACGGCCGCAAGGUUAAAACUCAAAUGAAUUGACGGGGGCCCGCACAAGCGGUGGAGCAUGUGGUUUAAUUCGAUGCAACGCGAAGAACCUUACCUACUCUUGACAUCCACNGAACUUAGCAGAGAUGCUUUGNUGCCUUCGGGAACCNUGAGACAGGUGC